rnacentral:lncRNA from 1 species
CCGCUUCUUCACCAGUGCUUGUUUCUUUAUAGCAGCCUGAUGGGUAUGAAGGAUUUCAUGGUGGUUUUGCUUUGAACUUCCCUCAUAAUUAGUGGUGUUGAACAUCUUUCCAAAUGCUAGUUGGUCAUUUGUGUAUCAGCUUUGAAGAAAUGCCUCUUCAGGUCUUUUGCCCAUUACAAAAAAAACAAAACAGGUUUUUUGGGUUUUGAUUUGUGGGAGUUAUUUAUAUAUUCUGAUACUAACCCUUCAUUAGAUAAGUGGUUUACAAAAAUUGUUUCCAUUUCAGAGUUGCCUUUUCACUAUUGAUUGUGUCUUUUGAUGCUUUUAAUUUCGAUGUAAUUCAGUUUAUCUGUUUUUACUUUUGUUACCUGUGCUUUUGGUGUCAUGUCCAAGAAAAUGUUGCCAAAUCCAAUGUUAUGAAGUAUUUAUUGCUGCUCUUAAAAGUUCUUUAGUAAUCAGUCUUAUUUCUGUAAUUACUGUCUAGUCUAUUUUGCCACUUGGUUUAUCAGCUGCAUUUUUCUGCUUUGACCAUUUACUUACAUUGUAAAACAACCAUGUUGAUUUUUAUAAAGAUCAUGAAUUCUUUGUAGAGUUGGGAAGGGAAGCUUUUGCUGGUGAUUGUCAAACUUACUCUCAUUUUUUCUUAUCUUUGUUGUGUACAAAGCUAUCUCUUAUACAAAGAGUAUUAAAAAUUUGAUGUGAUAAGUCUGAUAAUAUCUAAUGAGACUAUUGGGUUUGCUUCUAAUUACAUUUUUCUUUAGUAACUAAACAUGCAUGUCCUCCCCCAUUACACUGGGUGCUCUGCUCCAUUUACGGUGUUAGGAAUCCAACCCAGGAGCGUAUGUAAUUAAUUCCUUAACACUGGCAAAGGUGAAAUAUCAUACUUUUUUAAUUGAGUAAAUACUGUCAUUGCUGUUUUGUUCUAGAUCUGUCAAUAUUAGCUUAAUAAUUAUCUGCCUGAAUCUGUUUCUCAAAAUUUUAAUCUCUAGUUUUUGUUUCUCAUCAAAUACAAUGAAUUUUAAUGACUGUCACUGUUCAUUAUGUUAUAAAAUGCUCCUUAUGUUCUGAAGUCAGAGUGGAAGCUGUGAUACUCCUCAGGGCAAGACUUCUGUCUCCUUGUCGGAACUGAAUGCGGUUAGUCCUUGGUUCCAGACAUAACAUGGCUCUUCUUUGGUUCCUCGGUGUUUUUAAGAAUGUGGUGCACAUGCUGAAUCUUCUCUUCGGUGUAUAAACCAGGACUUUGGCCAGUUACUUACUCUGCCUGUGUCGUCGUCGCCGUCCCCACCUCCUCCCCAAGUCUCCCCGCUGCCUCCCCUGGGCCGGCGUAAUCAUGGCCCUGAAGGUGGGGUUAUCUUUUACUUGCUUUCUUUUCAUAGAACUUUGGAAAAAAAACUUACCUAAAUGUUUUUAAACUGUUUUCAUUUUAGUUGUUUUUAACUUUAUAGAAAAGGUAUUACAUCGUAUCAAAUCUUCUGAAGCUUUUCUCCUUUACCAGUAUUAAGAUUCACUCUUGACCGUGUGUGUUCACUUGGAGUCUCUUGUGACUAUAACGCGGUUAACUGAUGUUUCCCGCUGCUUCUCUUAUUUUAAGGGAAAUAGGUAAGUGAUUGGUGGACGCUCUUGUGAACAGAAUUAAAGCCUGACUGACAGGUGGGCACUACCAGUACCCCACCCACCCCCAGCUGGCUGUUUGCUGCCACACCUUUUUCUAGUCAUUUUUAUCUACAUCUAAUAUAAAAACAUCCAUGUAAGUGGAAAAUACUGUUCUAGAUCAUAUAUCAUUACUGACUUGCUUUUUUCACUUAGCGAGGGGGGGGUCAGAGAGCACCCACAGGCUGCUGUUGUCGUGCUAAGCGGCUGCGUGGUGUUCUUUUUCUGGAACAGUCUGUGAGUUCUUUAGCUGUUCUGCUGCCGAUCAACGUUUACACGCUUUCCAGUGCCUUUGGAUGCCGUGGAAUCAUCCUCAUACCCGCCCCGUAUGCACACACGUGGCUGUUUCUCCGGUACCAAGAUGCAGAAUUGCUGGGUCACAGGCCGGGUCAGCGCUCAGCUCGCCCUGCGGGCCUCCGGCGUGGGCGUGGGGAUCGCAUCCCCGACUGCGAGUGUCUGUUUGUCCACCCCUCUUGGACACUCUGUGUAGCAAGCUCGAAAAUUUCUGCCUGCUUUGACGGGCGGCGUAUUCACAGUGAGCCACAGAGACUUCGGUGGGUGCAAUGGACUCUCGACAUCUGUGGGUUUAACAUUUGUGGACUUAAUGCUCAUAGGGAUCCCAGAGUCCAAGCCACAUAAUCAUUUUUAAUUUUCUCGAGGUGUGAUUUUUUUUUUAAUUACUCAUGUUGUGAGGAUGCCCAGCCGAACACUCUGCAGCCACUGUCAAAGGGACCAAAACUUGGCAAAUUUAGGUCCUGAGGAGCUGAUGUUGGGAACUGCAGGCCCGGGACCUGUCCCACUAGCAUUAUUCUCUCCCCUCGGCCUCAGGCAUCCUAACCUGCCUCCCGAGAGCCCCUCACCCAUCCUAAUGACCAACCCAUCAUGGCACUUUCAUGGUUUUUUGCUGUGCCUAAAGGUUGUCACCGUUGAACCAACCACAUCCAGUUCGGUGGACUUUACAGAUGAAAAGCUCCGAGACACCCUGUCUUGCUGGAAAUGCUGAUACAGUUAUACAAACCCAGCCUGGAGAAUGACUUGGGCGUGUUCUUGGAGGGGAGUUCGGCUGGGAGGGUGUGAGUGCCAAACCUCUGCCCCGGUGCAGCCAGCUGCCGUCCCUGGGACUCCUGUGUACCUGGGAUGUCCGAACGAAUCCCGUGCUGGUAACCGGCACCUGACCCACGCAAGCCCCGCCUUUGUCUCCUGUCCACCCCCAGUGGACUGUUUAUAAAACGUCUCGCGGACUUUCCUGCCUCAUCGAAUUGGUUACACGGACCGGACUGACUCUCCCCUGGGAGUCAGCGGCAGCCUGCGUCUCUUCAGAAAUCAUGGGUUGAGCUUAUUUUUCCACCAAACAUGAUUCUGUUCUCUGAGUAUGAUUUUUUUCUGAUUUACUGUUGAAAGGAUGCUUUCAACAUAGGAGGCUUUUCUCCGUUUUCUCAGGGCAUGUUCUGCACAAACCCGAUUGUUUGCUCGAGGGAACAUUACUGGCUCCGAGGGCCGGACCAGUGUGAAGGCUUCGGAUGCAGGUUGCCAGGCAUCUUCCUGAAAGGCCAGCGCAGCUCAGCCGGGCCCUGGUUCUGGCUCUUUUUGUUUUUAUCUUGGCUGAUUGGAAGUCGAAGCAGUGUCUCAAUGUGUUAACUAGCACCCUUUGAUUCUGCGAAGCUGCCCGAUCUGUGCAUCUGCUUUGUGCUUCACUCUUCAUUUGCUUCCCAAGAACUCUUUUUGCUGAGGACUUUUUUUCUCCACGAAGUCACACACAAUUUAUUUUGGAACUAAAUAGUAUGGACUGCAUACAAAGGUUUUAUCCUAAACUCUCCUGAUAGACGUAUGCUGAGGACAUUUGCCCUUAUUAGACACCCUUAGAUAUUACAAAAUGUUUUUCAAGUUUGUAAUUUUUGUCUUUUAAGUUUACACAUUGGAUCUUACUGACGGUUUUAAAUUUUGUAAUUAUUUAAUUUGAUUUGGGGGUUUAUGUACUUUGAUGUUGUGCCAUAUUUUCCUCUGGUUCUUUGGUGGUUUCAUUUUUGACAUUUAACUUUUACUCCAUCUAAGAAUUGUUUUGGUGUGCAGUAUGAGGUAAGACUCUUAUCUUAGCUCCUCCAAAAUGAUCAACAAAUGCCCCCACACCAUCACUGAAUAAUAAUUCUACCUUCUCUAC